CUGAAUGCUUUCUCUAUCGGCCUUCUCCCUAUUAGCUUUGUCCAUUUCUUGUUAUUGGCGAUAUCUGUUAAUGAUCAAGCGAUUGUCGUAUAAAUAUCGACUGUCCAAAUUGAUCAAUUUCUUUCUUGGAUUGUUUUAAUUCCUUCGUCAAUCGGUGUACGAUUGAGGAUCCUUAUACAAAAGUAAGUAAAACAAGUCUUCUCUCGACCCCUCAAAGGAUAAUGGAUUGGAUUAAUCAAACACAUAUUUCUUAAACGUAUAAAUAUGAUUCGUCUAUAAUUGACUCGUGGUCAAUAGACGCAGGGCAAGUUUUCUAAUGAGCCCAAUACCCUCCUUGGGUAUUGGAUCGUCCUAGGCUCAUGCCUAAAAUAGGAUUUUGAUUUCGAUCUAUACUAGGUGUCUAGAGUGGGUUUGAACCAGGUUCCCAAGCGAACGACUUAGGUUUGGAAAUACGAACAGCCAUCAGACGACUCACGUGGUAAUAAACCAUCGUAUUUCCGAUACAUUAUUUGGAAUUGAACAACAGGGACCGGGACAUCCACGAAACCCCAAAACAGAUUAUCAAAUAAUGCAGGAAUAUGCUAUGGAAUGCAAUAAUUAAAUACCAUGAAAUAGAAACAAACAAACACAUAAACAAAUAAUCAAAAAACAAAAUCAAACAUUUGGUUAGAACCUAGUUAAAAAUCCCCAGCAAAGUUGCCAUUUCUGUUUUGCAGAAAUUUUGACUUUUUAGAAGAAUCGCCACUUAAUUUUGAAAAGGAACUAAGAAACCUUUAUAAAAUACUUAGACGAUUCAAAAUAGGAAAAUCGUUCAAGUUAGAGAUUUUGAGUAAGCGGUUCCUAUUAACAUUUUAGGAAGGUGUUAGGCACCUAAAACGUCCGCUAACUUGUGAUUAUCCGGACUGUUUGAAAACAUCUUUUGAUUAACUUCAAAAAAUUGAUUUGUUGAAAAGUGAUUGAUUUUAAAAAACGACUUGUGUAAAAUGGAUUUAGGAGACUUAAUAGGGAUUUAACUAAGUUUAAACAAGAGUAAUAAACAAAUAAACACAUGAAAGGUGGAAGGGAGGAGAAAGUAAAGGAUUUGGGCCAAGACUUCUCCUUGUCUAAUUGGGCUUUCAACCCAUUUCACAUGUCCUAAACUAGUAUUUGAGCCUUUGGCUCGAGUCUUGCUUCACCUGUAUUAAAUUUACAACUUUGGCUUCGAGGCCCAAAUGAAUGAAUAAAGAAAUAAAAGACAACAAUGAAUAUAUAAAUAAAUAAAAAGAUAAAAAAGAAACUUUCUAGUCUCUUUGCCGGGACUUUAGCCCAUUCUUCUGCGUUCGACUCUUCAUAACCAUGCGCUAUGUAAUCGGCUUUCAAAGUCUUCUAGAAAAUAGGCCUCGAUGGCACGUUGUGUAAUGCAAGGGAAAAGAGUCUGAUUGGACUCCCGAGCGAGUUCAUGUAAAGAAAAAGAUGAAUGAAUUAAUGCAUGAUCAACCAAAAAGGAAGGGAAACAAAAAAGAAUAACUUUAAAGGUUCAGAUGAUAUAUGAUAAACUAAUUUCAGUGAAGCACAGACCAAUUCUCACACAUGAUGCAAAUAGCACAUGGGUUUAUUACCGAAUCCUAGCUGAAAUUAUAUGGAUAUUCAAAUAAAACAUCUUCAAUAAAAGAUAGGCAAAUUGCAGCUAACAAGAGAAUUCAAGGUUCUGAGAAAUUCGUUGACAGACAAACCAGCUAAAGAGGAGUAAAUAAUCAAUGAUGGUAUAAACCUGCCACAAGAUCUACAAAUUCGUAUCGUGGGAUCUAAAACAAAAUAUAAAUCAACAAAUCAAUGAUAGGAUAACUAAAUCUACUAGAUCGAUGGCAUACAAUCCGUCAUACAUCACUAACGAGACAAAAUCCAUUACUAGAUUUCCACGUAAUUUCGAAAAGGUGACCCAAGAUAAAGGACGCAACUUGAAUACAAAAUGUAUCCUUGAGGGGUCACCGAAUGAUUUGAACUACUAUGACAUCUCCCCUAUCCCUUCUUGACAUUAUUUGUCUAUAGGAAUUUUGGGAAUGUUUCCACUUGACUUCAAAAGAUUCGAAACAAAUACAUGACAAAACAAAACCGAGGCAAACUACGCAUAAUAUUGAACUAAGGCAACGAAUCAAAACUAAAACAAACAAUAGUCGGCUAAACGAAUAGCAAAUUGGGCCAAAAUAAUCAAGUACAAAAUGAUAUAAUGGAAAAUAACAAUAAUCAAAUGCUACAAUGGUUUUGAAGACAAAAUAGAAAUAAAAUUAUAAAGUUAAAGUAUUGAGGCCAAAACUGAAAUAAUAAAUGAUAAAUCAAAGGAAAAAUUUGGAUUUCAUCAAAACAAGGUGAUGAUUAAAAUGAAAAUCUAAAAUCUUAUGGUGAAAAACAUCAAAUAAUAUAGAACAAAAAUGAACAACACAAACAGCAAUCAACAAGCAAAGCAUUUAGGUUGAAACAAAUAGUGAAUUAAUCCUACAAACUUUGUUGACUCCUAUUAUAUACAUUAUAAACUACCCAACAACACUUAAUACGAAAUAGUGAAUUCAGGGCAAGUGAACCCAAAUAUGAAGCCAGCAGUGAAACACAGAUCAUAACAUGGACAAUGAUUCAACAUAACAAUCAUCUCUGCCUUCUGAGGCUCCUACAAUGAGUGAUUCUCAACAAACCACAGAAUGCUCAAACAAAUCCUACAGUCGACGAGGCCUCUACAGCUACUCCCAGCACAGAAUAACAUCAAAAAAGUUAUUUAUAACUAUAGAAGGUCGAGAUAAAGCAUAAAAGAUCAAAACUUAAAUAGAAAAGUAUAUUACCUUUUAGGGAGCAGCAAAACGGGACUACGAGCAGACGUUGGACUCCACCACCACCGGAAAGCUCGAUACCGAUAUGUGAAUUUUGACUAAACUGACUGCUACUUCUUAAAAUCUUUGCUGAACAAAAGUUUCUCUUUCUCGAAACCCUUUUUUCUUGACCCAAAAGAAAUUUUUUCCAACCUAACUUUUUUAGAAAAUUUUUGAACCCAAGAGCCAAAAUCCCCCUUUUCAACCCAACGAAUGAGCUUUUAAUAUCCAUAAAAAAUGAGGGUUCUCAAAACCUCUUCCUCGAUGCGGGAACACAACCCUUUUUAGGGUAAUUUUGGAAUUUUCUCAAGGGAUAUCAAAUUUCAAAACUCAAAACCAAAAUUCUUCCCAACAGAUCCUCCCAAAUGAACUAUUUUGAACAAAUUAAAAACCAAAAUCAGGUAUUUUGAGGCCAAGAAAAAAUUCUCCAAGAACCAAUCAAAAUUCAACAGGUAUGUAACGAACUCGUACGAAAUACUCCGAGAUUUGUGAAAUUGAACAUUGGACGGGCCAAUUAAGUAGUCUUCUCAAAGCUUCUCAUCUUUCUUCGCAUAAAUCCACAUGGGAGGGCAUGUGACGCAUGUAAGAGAUGGGAUGAGACCGGGUCGGGUUCAUUGUAAUUGGAGAUGGGUCGGGUUCAGUUUUUUAGCAUGGUGUCAUUGCUGAAUUAGGAUUUUACCAUUGCAGGAACUGUUGUUGUUGUAUCGUGUUUGGAUGGUUGUUUUCGCACUGUUGUUGGUUAUCUGUUAUCGAUGUUGGGUUAAGGAAAGAAGAAACAAAAGUUGGAUCGGGUCGGGUCGUGGAUAAGUGGGUUGGGGCGGUGAUGGGAUUUAGGUAUUGGUGUUGUUUGUUAUGUGUAAGGGAGAAUGGAUGCUGAAAUUGUUAUUAUUUUUGGGCUGAUUUGGCUAUUUUAAUGGAUUUGGCCAAUUUGUUUAAGUUUUGGCCAAUUGCAUUGCAAUUGUGGCCAAUUCCAUUUCAAAUAUGACAAAAUCUAAUAGAUUGG
rnacentral:lncRNA from 1 species